rnacentral:siRNA from 1 species
UGCAUGAAGACAUAAAAUCCCGGC